UACGGAAGGUGCAAGCGUUAAUCGGAAUCACUGGGCGUAAAGCGCUCGUAGGUGGCUUUGUAAGUCAGGUGUGAAAGCCCACGGCUCAACCGUGGAAUUGCACUUGAUACUGCAUUGCUUGAGUUCGGGAGAGGGUAGUGGAAUUCCAGGUGUAGGAGUGAAAUCCGUAGAGAUCUGGAGGAACACCAGUGGCGAAGGCGACUACCUGGACCGAUACUGACACUGAGGAG
rnacentral:rRNA from 1 species